GUCUACGGCCAUACCACCCUGAACGCACCCCAUCUCGUCUGAUCUCAGAAGCUAAGCAGGGUCAGGCCUAGCUAGUACCUGGAUGGGAGACCGCCUGGGAAUACCGGGUGCUAUAGGCU
rnacentral:rRNA from 1 species